rnacentral:rRNA from 1 species
CCUACGGGAGGCAGCAGUGGGGAAUUUUGCGCAAUGGACGCAAGUCUGACGCAGCAACGCCGCGUGCAUGAUGACGCCUUUCGGGGUGUAAAGUGCUGUCGAGCGGGACGAAGCCCAGGGGAUGAAGAGUGUCCUGGGGUGACGGUACCGUUGGAGGAAGCCCCGGCUAACUCCGUGCCAGCAGCCGCGGUAAGACGGAGGGGGCAAGCGUUGUUCGGAAUUACUGGGCGUAAAGCGCGCGUAGGCGGUGGAUCAAGUGGGCAGUGAAAGCCCCCGGCUCAGCCGGGGAAGGGCUGGCCAAACUGGUCGACUAGAGUGCCGGAGGGGGAGGCGGAAUUCCUGGUGGAGCGGUGAAAUGCGUAGAGAUCAGGAAGAACGUCGGUGGCGAAGGCGGCCUCCUGGACGGACACUGACGCUGAGGUGCGACAGCGUGGGGAGCGAACGGGAUUAGAUACCCCGGUAGUCCACGCCGUAAACGAUGGGUACUAGGUGUGAGGGCGGAGAUCGCUUUCGUGCCGGAGCUAACGCAGUAAGUACCCCGCCUGGGGAGUACGG